rnacentral:rRNA from 1 species
AGAGUUUGAUCAUGGCUCAGAGCGAACGCUGGCGGCAGGCCUAACACAUGCAAGUCGAGCGGGCACCUUCGGGUGUCAGCGGCAGACGGGAGAGUAACACGUGGGAACGUGCCCUUUGGUUCGGAACAACCCAGGGAAACUUGGGCUAAUACCGGAUAAGCCCUUACGGGGAAAGAUUUAUCGCCGAAGGAUCGGCCCGCGUCUGAUUAGCUAGUUGGUGGGGUAAUGGCUCACCAAGGCGACGAUCAGUAGCUGGUCUGAGAGGAUGAUCAGCCUCACUGGGACUGAGACACGGCCCAGACUCCUACGGGAGGCAGCAGUGGGGAAUAUUGGACAAUGGGCGCAAGCCUGAUCCAGCCAUGCCGCGUGGGUGAUGAAGGCCCUAGGGUUGUAAAGCCCUUUCGGCGGGGAAGAUAAUGACGGUACCCGCAGAAGAAGCCCCGGCUAACUUCGUGCCAGCAGCCGCGGUA